GUGCAGGUAGGACUGGUCUGUUUCCAAAGAGGUUUCAGAUCUUUAUUGUCUAUUUUUCAAUCGUGUAAUUAUGUUAACUUGCAGCCGGGUGAUUACUCAACCAAGCGUUGCAAGAAUCACGGUUAGUCAAGAGGGAACUGGCCAGGUGCGUUGCAGAUCCCUCGCGCAAGGAGUGGCUGGAGGGAUCUUGACAAUAGCAAGGAUUGUCUGGUUUCACUGACCAGACUGGCGAGCUAAAAUAAGCAGGAUCCAGAAACACAAGACUUAUCUGGGAACAUUCUUCCGAACUAAUUGGAGGAUCAGCUCAAGUCCCCAUUGAAGGAAGUGGAUUAUUUUGGGUUUUUUUCAUCAUCAACAAAGACUGGUGGACGUCCUUGGUAUAAGGAACUUUAACUUGUUUUUUCCUUUAAACUAUGGACUAAUGUGUAUAUAUAUUGUAAAUACUAAAUACAACUCACCAAUUUGCACCAUC